CCCAGACCAAUGUACAUCACGUCGGAGAGGAAGACACAUAUGUGAUUCAUUUUCUGAAGGCUGAAGUCUAAGGAUUUACCUCACGACCCAGGAAUGUCAUGAGGCUGACUUUGCCCGUUGAGGACAAAUGGCUGCCAGCAGUCCUAGAAAUCGAUGGUCAUGCAUCCAGAUCCAGAGGAAAAGAGAAGGCCCUUCUCUCUGCUAAACUGGCUCACGUUGGCUCCGGACCCCCCGGAACAAAUCCUGUGGCUCUGAUUGGCAAGGCCUGGGCACAGGCUUGUGGAGAGUUUGUGAGGCCCUGAGGACCGCACCAACACUCAAGUCAGUGGAUGCACAGCUAAUCUUCUGCUGAAAGAAAAAUGGAUUCUUAUUUCUCUUCAAGUGUCUCUGGCAACAACUGGGCGUGGGCAGGAACUUGCCUUUAUCUAAACAAAAACAGAAGAUGUACGACCUAUCCAAGCUCUUCUGGCCUACUCUUCUCUGAUGAUACCACUCCGUGGCAGGUUUCUGAGAAUCUUUUAUUUUUCUAGAACUUUAGAGGAAAAUACCCUGUGCUUGAUAUUGUGGUCGAUGAGUGUACGACGGUUGUGUGGGUUCUGGGUGGACAUGGUUUUCUACUUCUCAUCAUGAAAAGGAGACUCUCCCCAUUCCUGGAAACUUCCUCUAGUUAUUGUCUCUUCCCCCCUGCCUGUCCCCCAUCCCAAUUCCUGCCACUCUUUAUUUCUCACCAACGGAAGUUAGGGCUCCCUUUAUGUGAUAUGGAAGGCAUACCCCUCCCCGUGAUAACACUGAGGGACCAUUGUCUCCUGACCGCAUCUUUCCAUCAUCUAUAAUGCACAUUUUGUACUGUUAAUUUAAAUGUCUUUAGUCCACAUCUUACAUUUUUCCUCCAAACAUUUCCUGCAUCAUUCAAAAGGAGUUUGCAAGGCUCUGCCUUUUAACAUUUAAAAGAGAGAAGAGAAAUCUUUAAUGUUAA